UGAGGAAUAUUGGACAAUGGGCGAGAGCCUGAUCCAGCCAUGCCGCGUGCAGGAAGACUGCCCUAUGGGUUGUAAACUGCUUUUAUACGGGAAGAAACACCCCCUCGUGAGGGGGCUUGACGGUACCGUAUGAAUAAGGAUCGGCUAACUCCGUGCCAGCAGCCGCGGUAAUACGGAGGAUCCAAGCGUUAUCCGGAAUCAUUGGGUUUAAAGGGUCCGUAGGCGGACAAUUAAGUCAGCGGUGAAAGUCUGCAGCUCAACUGUAGAACUGCCGUUGAUACUGGUUGUCUUGAAUCAAUGUGAAGUGGCUAGAAUAUGUGGUGUAGCGGUGAAAUGCUUAGAUAUCACAUAGAACACCGAUUGCGAAGGCAGGUCACUAACAUUGUAUUGACGCUGAUGGACGAAAGCGUGGGGAGCGAACA
rnacentral:rRNA from 1 species